rnacentral:rRNA from 1 species
UACAGAGGUGGCAAGCGUUGUUCGGAAUUACUGGGCGUAAAGGGCGCGUAGGCGGUUCGGUAAGUCCUGUGUGAAAUCCCUCGGCUCAACUGAGGAACUGCACGGGAGACUGCCGGGCUUGAGUUCGGGAGAGGGAAGCGGAAUUCCGGGUGUAGCGGUGAAAUGCGUAGAUAUCAGGAGGAACACCAAUGGCGAAGGCAGCUCGCUGGGACGGUACUGACGCUGAGACGCGAAAGCGUGGGGAGCAAACAGG